rnacentral:rRNA from 1 species
CCUACGGGAGACAGCAGUGAGGAAUCUUGGUCAAUGGGCGCUAGCCUGAACCAGCCAAGCCGCGUGAAGGAUGACUACUCUAUGCGCUGUAAACUUCUUUUGUAUGGGAAUAAAGUGCAGUUUGUAACUUGCUUUUCAUGUACCUUAUUAAUAUGGAUCGUCUAACUCCGCGCCAGCAGCCGCGGUACUAUGGUGGGUACGAGCGUUGCGCGGAUUGAUUGGGUUUAAAGGGAACGUAGGCGGGUUGUUACGUCAGUUGUGAAAGUCUGCGGCUCAACAGUAAAAUUGCAUCUGAUACUGGUAACCUUGAGUACAGAAGAGGUGGGCGGAAGUCGUGGUGUAGCGGUGAAAUGCUUAGAUAUCUCGAAGAACUCCGAUUGCGAAGGCAGCCUGCUGGACUGUAACUGACGCUGAUGCUCGAAAGUAUGGGUAUCGAACAGGAUUAGAUACCCGAGUAGUC